rnacentral:rRNA from 1 species
UAUUAACUACUAACUAUUUUUCUUUACUAUAAAGCAAAAUGCAGCUAGAUAAGUAUUCUCAAAAAAAUUCUUACUCUUCACACCCGCAAGGACCCCACAACAUAAACCUUAGAAUUGAUAAACCCAUCUACCUUUUGCAUAAUGUAACUGCAAGAAAAAACAAUUUAAAAUGUUUCCCGAAAAGUGGAGAGCUACUACAGCUACUCUAUUAAUGUAACAUUAUUAAUAUACAGCCUGUAGUAGCAGCAAAAUACCUAUCGAGCCACUUGAUAGCUGGUUUUUCCUUAAAGACAUGUAAGUGUCUUCUCACAGAACCUAAUAAAACUAUUCCUGUGAGAAAAACUUUAGAGGGGACAAGCUCUCUAUAGUCUUUAGAAAAAACACCAUACAACUCUUCAGAGAGGCCUAAAAACAGCCAAACUAUCCGUUAUAGGAAACGACAUUUACAAAUCAACAUAAAAAUAAAAUUCUAUUUUCAAGGAACCUACUAGAGCAACCAAUUCUUUUAUGAACUGGCAAUUAUUAGUAUUCAAAAAGCAAGCAUAUACAACCUUUUUUUAAACCUUCGUUUCUUAAAUCUUUGCUAUAUAACUCCACUGGCAAUGAACUCGGCAAAACUUCUCUCUGCCUGUUUAUCAAAAACAUCGUCUUUUGUCACCACACUUAUAAAAGAUACUGCCUGCCCCAUGAUUUCAUUAAAUGGCCGCGUUAGCGUGAGCGUGCUAAGGUAGCGUAAUAAACAGCUCCCUAAUUAGGAGCCAGUGAAUGGCCAAACAGAGAAAGACUUUAUUACCAAUGGUAAAAAAACUUUUCGUUUAAGUGAAAAGACUUAAAUAAAGGAAAAAGACAAAAAGACCCCGCGGAACUUCCUUAAGGCCCUAUUACAUAAACAAAACUCAUGUUUAAGGCUAACUGGUUGGUUGGGGCAACCUUGGAACAAAAAAAGCUUCCAUUUUGUAAAAAACUCUAUACAAAACUUCCUGUGGACUAUAUUUGUAGUUACCCCGGGGAUAACAGCGUCAUCCAGCUUAAGAGUACGAAUCGAAAGCUGGGUUUGCGACCUCGAUGUUGGCUUAGGGAAACUGGGUUUGCGACCUCGAUGUUGGCUUAGGGAAAGCAAUUUGGUGCAGCCGCUAAAUUACAAUGCCAGUCUGUUCGACUGCCAACCCCCUACACGAGCUGAGUUAAGACCGGUGAGAACUAGGUUGGAUUCUAUCUUUUCUUUAAAAACAAUUCUUUAUUGUACGAAAGGACCCAAAGAAGCACACUCAAAGUGACCACUUAAAACAAGCCCCUAUCAAAUAACAACUACU